CUUUACUGUAGCCUGGUAUUGGGUUCGGGCUUUGACUGCGCAGGAUAGGUGGGAGACUAUGAAGCAAUCCUUGUGGGGGUUGCUGAGUCAACGGUGAGAUACCACUCUGUCAGAGCUAGAAUUCUAACUAAAUGCCGUUAUCCGGCUUUGGAACCGUAUCAGGUGGGCAGUUUGACUGGGGCGGUCGCCUCCUAAAAGGUAACGGAGGCGUGCAAAGGUUCCCUCAGGCUGGUUGGAAAUCAGCCACAGAGUGCAAAGGCAGAAGAGAGCUUGACUGCAAGAGCUACAACUCGAGCAGGGUGGAAACACGGCCUUAGUGAUCCGACGGCGCUGAGUGGAAGGGCCGUCGCUCAACGGAUAAAAGUUA
rnacentral:rRNA from 1 species